rnacentral:rRNA from 1 species
ACUUUAAUUGAAGAGUUUGAUCAUGGCUCAGAUUGAACGCUGGCGGCAGGCCUAACACAUGCAAGUCGAGCGGUAACAGGGAUCAGCUUGCUGAUUCGCUGACGAGCGGCGGACGGGUGAGUAAUGUCUGGGAAACUGCCUGAUGGAGGGGGAUAACCACUGGAAACGGUGGCUAAUACCGCAUAAUGUCGCAAGACCAAAGUGGGGGACCUUCGGGCCUCAUGCCAUCAGAUGUGCCCAGAUGGGAUUAGCUUGUAGGUGGGGUAACGG